CUGUCUCUUGCUUCAACAGUGUAUGGACAGAACAG
rfam:Pteropus alecto contig69787, whole genome shotgun sequence.